GCUAGGUCGCUCAUUUGGUAAAGCGCUCCAUUGAAAAUGGAGAGGUCCCGGGUUUGAUACCCGGACCAGGCG
rnacentral:tRNA from 1 species